GGUAAUUACCCAGUAUCUCAAG
rnacentral:misc_RNA from 1 species